ACUUACGGAAUUAACUUACAUGUCCCAUAUCGCGCACGUUAAUGAUGCUUGGACGAAAGUCAAAGCAUAUAUAUUGCAAAUAAUUAAUAACAAUUAAAUUUAAUAUUAUGGUUCUUAAAAUACGUGAUUUAUUUUAUGCUAGUUGUUAGGCAAUGAAUGCUAAGCAAAAGAUUAGAAAGCAAGAUUAUAGCUUAGAGACGAUAUAAUAACCUAAUCGAACUGCUAGAGAUCAGAGCCUCGAGUUGUCGUAUAUGAGGCCUCGAGGUCGAGUUGGAUGACCGGGCUUAGAUCGAUCGAGGGAGGACUAACAGUUAUGAGAGCUACGAUGAUAGCUCUUUAUGAUCAAUGAUAAGCAAUAAAUGAUGAAUAAUAAAUAGAACACAAUGAAUAUAAGCAAUAAAUGGUGUAAUGAG
rnacentral:lncRNA from 1 species